GCGUGAGUGGCGUAAUAGGUAGACGCAGCGGACUUAAAAUUCGCUGGCCAUAAAGGCCGUACCGGUUCAAGUCCGGUCUUGCGCACCA
rnacentral:tRNA from 1 species